UACAGAGGUCUCAAGCGUUGUUCGGAUUCAUUGGGCGUAAAGGGUGCGUAGGCGGCGCGGUAAGUCGGGUGUGAAAUCUUGGAGCUUAACUCCGAAACUGCAUUCGAUACUGCCGUGCUUGAGGACUGGAGAGGAGACUGGAAUUUACGGUGUAGCGUGAAAUGCGUAGAGAUCGUAAGGAAGACCAGUGGCGAAGGCGGGUCUCUGGACAGUUCCUGACGCUGAGGCACGAAGGCCAGGGGAGCAAACGGG
rnacentral:rRNA from 1 species